rnacentral:rRNA from 1 species
GACGUAGGGCGCGAGCGUUGUCCGGAUUUAUUGGGCGUAAAGAGCUCGUAGGCGGCUUGUCGCGUCGUUCGUGAAAACCCACGGCUUAACUGUGGGCUUGCGGUCGAUACGGGCAGACUAGAGUGUGGUAGGGGAGACUGGAAUUCCUGGUGUAGCGGUGGAAUGCGCAGAUAUCAGGAGGAACACCGAUGGCGAAGGCAGGUCUCUGGGCCACUACUGACGCUGAGAAGCGAAAGCAUGGGGAGCGAACAGG